rnacentral:lncRNA from 1 species
GCCUUCGUUUCCAGGUUUGAAAAAUGAAGCAGGGAAGGAGGGAGAGAAUGCUCUCAAGGAGUCGAUGGAAGAAUGAAAGGGAAUACUUGGCAAACUGUCAAUCACUAUGCAAGUGCUUAUGGUUGGGACUGUGGCUGUCACUGCUUUUUAUGGCACGAGGUGGUCCAACUUCUCAGUUCCCUGCAAACACCAUGAAAGGAGGCCCAGCCUCUCAGCCUCCCCAGCUGUGGGAGGCUGCCGUGCGACAGAACUCUAAGCCUCACCUGGAGCAUGUCCACCAUCUUCCUGAGAUCUGAAGUCCGGAGACUAGCAGCCUGCUGCAUGGUAAAGCCCUGGAAGUUCUCAAUGAUGCAGAAGCCAUUGAUUUGAGUUUCCUCAUUCUCCAGCAGCUUCUCCAGGAUGAAGCAAUAUGCCUGCAAGAUCUUGGGCACAGAGAGAACAGGCUGUGAGAUCUAACCCGCAACAAUAAUUAAGGCUUGAGGUCCUGAGGGGAGAGCUAAUUGGUACAUUCUUCACUGGGGUAAUUUGCUGCAGGCUUUGAUCUCGGACAUUCCACUUCUGUGAAUGUAUACCAAGAAAACAAGUUCAAAUGUCACAUCCAUGGUUAGAGGCCAGAAGGUUUAUCCCAGUACUCUUACAAUUGUGGGAACAUUGGAGACAACCUAAAUGUCCAACAAUGGGAAGUGGUGAAAUUGUGGUACAUUUAUGCCAUGGAAUACUCUGGAACAAUUNNNNNNNNNNNNNNNNNNNNNNNNNNNNNNNNNNNNNNNNNNNNNNNNNNNNNNNNNNNNNNNNNNNNNNNNNNNNNNNNNCAAAAGUAGGCUUGAAGAAAACAGAAGGCAUCUCACAUUUGUGGAUAGGACAACUGGCCAGGAAUGUGACAUUCCGAAAGAAGCCAGUUCUCCCCAAGCUUGUUAUUUAUGUUUAAUAUUAUCCCCAAAACAUACUCCGCCAGGAGAAAAAGAAUCUGGCUCUGUUCUCAAUGACAUGAUCACUGCAGGAUAAAGCAAUCUCUCCUCCCUCCUGUGGCCAUCCUUCUCCAGCCCAAAGGAGUCCCUCAGAAACUUCGCAGCCUAGUGGAUGGCCCUUUCCCCAAUGCAUUCGUUCUCAAGAUGGGUGAUGACCAGUUACAUAAGUACAUAAUCACGAGACUGGAAGUGUGUUCUGUGCUUUGGGAUGCACUAAGUACUUUCAAAUCCACUCUCUCAGACCCAGGGUCAGCAUUAUUAUUUCCAUUUUACAUAGGAGGAAACGGGAGGAGGAAUAAGUGACUUGUCCAAGGUAACACAGCCAAAAAAUAGCCAGGGAUCAGUACUCAGACCCAAGUUGUGACUUCCUGUCAGGACCGAGAGGCAGCCUGCUGUGGCACAAAAGUUGGACCUGGGUUCGAGUUCUUCUCUUCCACUUGCAGGCUGUGUGAUUUAACCCCAGUCUUGGUUGUUCCCUGUAAAGUAGGAUGGAAGUGUUAUGAAAUGUAAUAGACACAUAAGCAAUGCUUGGUUACCAGAACAGAUCCCAUUCAUGGCCCACAUGACAACCUGCUUCCCCAGAGGGUAUUUUUGGAGACAGCUCUUCUGUUUCCAGGUUUUCUCUCCUGCCUAAAUGUCCUGCCUAAGUGCCUUCAAGAACCCUUCACCAUCCUACUCCUGCAUGUGACCAGGUUCCAUGGUCAGUUCAAUCACUUAGUCACAGUUGGUAAGUGACAGAGUUGGGACUUGAACCUAUGCCUGCCUGACACCAAGUCUUUUUUUGACACCUAGAGCCAAGACAUCUGCAGACAAACUCCCUAGGAGAGCUGGUGUCAUAGAAACCUUAAAGGUUAGGGAGACCUGGGUUGGAAUCAGGCUUUGUCAGUUAUGACUUGUGUGACCCUAGCAAGUUAUUUAACCUUUCUGGGUCUCAGUUUCCUCAUCUGCAAACUGAGGAUAAUAACAGUACCUACCAAAAAGAACUGUCAUGAAAACCAUAUAAUUUCUGCAAUGCUCCUGGCACAGUGUCCUGUUCUAAAGCAUAGUUCCGCUUCUCUUUCUUAGCUCCAUAUUGAUUAUUACCCUAACUUGCACAAAGAGACUUGGAGGAUCCCCAUAGAGUAUCGGAGGGUCCCCCAUUUCCUGCUCUUUCCACUCCACAGCCCCAGCAAGCACAGGGAAGUUCUGGGGGCCAUAAUCCACCCACAGGAACCAAAUCUAAGCCAUCUUUCUGGCUGGUAGACAUCCAGGUAUGUGGGCACAGAGAUAGACAGGCUGAAAUGCUGCUGUGCUAUCAGUUGGGUUUUGCUGGAACAGGAAUGGAAAUGGAGAGGCUGACAGAACUGCCCUGGGGAGCCCAGGCAAGAGGGACAGUGGCUGGACACCCCCAGCCAGUUGUGCAGACCAUCAGAACAAGAUCCUAGAUUUUAGGAAUACAGGGUUCAAGUCCGUGCGGCAACUCUUUUCUAAAUAUGCCCAAGCCGUUAACUUUGAGUUUUAAAAAUACUGAUUUACAAGCUGUACACAAUGAAAAAAUGCCUAUCCCUCACACCAUGCUGAUGCUGUUCCCUGCCAUCUCAGUUUACCAAUUAAAAUACAGAAUGCCCAAUUAAAUGUGAACUUUUUUUUUUUUUUUUUUUUUUUUUUGAGAUGGAGUUUUGUUCUUGUCGCUCAGGCUAGAGUGCAAUGGUGCGAUCUCAGCUCACUGCAACCUCUGCCUCCCGGGUUCAAGCAAUUCUCCUGCCUUAGCCUCCUGAGUAGCUGGAACUACAGGUGCCCACCAGCAUGCCUGGCUAAUUUUUUGUAUUUUUAGUAGAGAUGGGGUUUCACCAUGUUGGCCAGGCUGGUCUCGAACUCCUGACCUCAGGCGAUCUGCCUGCCUCAGCCUCCCAAAGUGCUGGGAUACAGGCGUGAGCCUAAAUGUGAACUUUUUUAAUACUAAAAAAGUAUUUGCUGUUCAUCUGAAAUUCACAUUUAACUGGGUGUCCUGUAUUUUUAUUUGCUAAAUCUGCCAUCAAAUUGGUCUGGCUCAACCUGGAGAAUGGCCAGGUGGUUUCAGUUUUACAGGCAUCCUGGGACGUGGUCUCCCUGCUCCCCUGAGUCCUCACCCCAGUCCUGGGCUCCCUGGCCCAGGCAGGCCCCAGAUAUUGACUUACCUGCCAGGUCGGCAGCUCCUCCUUGGGGCUACCUGGUACCUGAAUGUCCUGGAGCUCUAGAGGUUGCCUCCGCUGGAGGCGUGGUCCGGUCAGCAGGUUGGGAUUAGUGUGUCAUAAGGAACUUCUCACCGCCCACAGUUUCCGUUAAAUCGGGCUCACAGGAGGCCCUGAGUGGGGCAAAGGAAGACCCGGAGAGAAAGGGGAGAGGGGAGAGGCCUGGGCCUGGCUGGAGGCGCAUCAAAGCCCUCCUUUGUGUGCUCCUGCUCUGGAGUUCCUGCUCGGCCAUGUGGAAGCCUGGCUGUGGGGCUGGGAUCUGGGCCAGUCCCAUUCCCUCUUUUCUCUGCCCUCUUUCUCCUCAAGAUCCCGGGGUGGGGUUGCUGAGAGAGCACCCCCCACCACCACCACCACCAGGGUAAUAAGAGGUGAAGGGAAAUCGUAAAUAUGACUACAUCUACAGUGGCAGCUCUGGCAAAUCCAGGCCUAUUGCCCACCCCUGCCCCAGCCAGCAGGACCUGGCGUGGUAGUUUUCACCUCUGCAGUGAGUGGGGUCAGUUGGGAAAUGUGGCUGGUUAAGGCCAAGCAGGGAGAGGACAAGACAGGCUGAGCCUCCUUCUGGGCAGUGUGGUGCAGCGGCAUGCCCUGGAACCAGACUGCCCGCUUGUAAAGCCUCGCUCGAGUAUCUUCUGGCCGGGAAACAUGACUUCAAAACUCAUCGGCUCAGUUUCCUCCUCUAAGAAGAGUAGAAAACUAGAGGACCAGGCUCAUGACUUUAGUGCGGAUGAAAUGGCAGUAAAGUGCUUAGUUCAGGGGUUUAGCUGCCUGACAAUAAGUCCUCUGGAAAGGUCAGUUACUCCAAAUACAGUAUCAAUAGGUGCCUAACUGGAGGGAACUUAUUAUUCAAUCCUUUGUACAGGAAGAAACCCCUCUGCAGCCUCUCAACAGGUAACUUCCCAGCCUCUGUUUUGCUAUUCCACUGGAUGAGGAGGAGGUAAUUCCUGUAGAACAUUUUCUGUCUAGGAUUCCAAGGGCGGGAAGCUCCCUGUUUCCAUUACUGGGGAGCUCUCCUUGUUUAAAACCUCAUUGUUGGUUUGAGCCCCAAGCAGCUUCCUAUAAUGACCACCCUUGGUCCUGGUUUUGCCUCCUAGAGGUGCCCAGGACAAGGUCAAGCUCGCCUGCACAGGUCACUCUCCAGAAUCCAACCCCAGAAGUGCUUUUUUAUUUUCCCUGGACAUAGUUCUUGCUUUUCCACCCAUUCCUACUUUGGCAGGUUUGGGAUUUCUUCCCACCACCCCAUCUCCUGCCGACCCCUUCCUCCAGAGCAGGCUGCAAUGCCUGGUGCUUAGAUCUGGAGGUGCACUUGAGUCACCUCGAGCUCUUUGUUUCCAAAAGCCUUU